UCCGAUAUGGUCUAGUGGCUAGGAUUUGCCGCUCUCACCAAAGAGCAGUUCACUCUCAGUAGUGCCGGCAAGGCCCGGGUUCGAUUCCCGGUGUCGGAA